GACGAACGCUGGCGGCGUGCUUAACACAUGCAAGUCGAACGGAAAGGCCCUGCUUGCAGGGUACUCGAGUGGCGAACGGGUGAGUAACACGUGGGUGAUCUGCCCUGCACUUCGGGAUAAGCCUGGGAAACUGGGUCUAAUACCGGAUAGGAGCCAUUUUUAGUGUGAUGGUUGGAAAGUUUUUUCGGUGUAGGAUGAGCUCGCGGCCUAUCAGCUUGUUGGUGGGGUAAUGGCCUACCAAGGCGGCGACGGGUAGCCGGCCUGAGAGGGUGGACGGCCACAGUGGGACUGAGAUACGGCCCAGACGCCUACGGGAGGCAGCAGUGGGGAAUGUUGCACAAUGGGCGCAAGCCUGAUGCAGCGACGCCGCGUGGGGGAUGACGGCCUUCGGGUUGUAAACUCCUUUCGCUAGGGACGAAGCUUUUUGUGACGGUACCUAGAGAAGAAGCACCGGCUAACUACGUG
rnacentral:rRNA from 1 species